rnacentral:rRNA from 1 species
UACGGAGGGGGCUAGCGUUAUUCGGAAUUACUGGGCGUAAAGCGCACGUAGGCGGAUCAGAAAGUCAGGGGUGAAAUCCCAGGGCUCAACCUUGGAACUGCCUUUGAAACUCCUGGUCUUGAGGUCGAGAGAGGUGAGUGGAAUUCCGAGUGUAGAGGUGAAAUUCGUAGAUAUUCGGAGGAACACCAGUGGCGAAGGCGGCUCACUGGCUCGAUACUGACGCUGAGGUGCGAAAGCGUGGGGAGCAAACAGG